UAGGUAGAUAAAGAACAUUCUUUGAGUAAAUCAGCUUCCUGCUGUAAUUUUCAGAUGGCUAAUACAAAGAGACUAUGAAUUCCUUGGCAGGCUAUUCUUUAUUAGGCACCACAAACUAAACAAGAGGUGCAGAUGACAUCAACAAAAGUUUGCUUACUUGAGAAGCUCAAGGAUUGCAACAACUAUGUCAUUCACAUAGCAAAACCCUGAUGCCUAUGGAUAAAAGAGGUACAAAAGAUUGAACCCUUGCAGCAGAUGUACCCACCCCCUGGUUCAGCCGAACAGCCCCCUCCAGCGAUGCACCCGUGUAUAUCGAGCAGAAAUCAAACAAUCCUGGAAACACAGGGCUACGGGAAAAUAAGUAGUGUCAGUGAUAUUAUUCAACUGUUGUCAAUUAAACCACAAUAUCAAUAAAUAGCCUGAAAAUAUACAAA